rnacentral:rRNA from 1 species
UACGUAGGAGGCGAGCGUUGUCCGGAGUUACUGGGCGUAAAGGGUGCGCAGGCGGCGGUGCGCGUGGCGAGAUGAAAUCUCCUGGCUUACCUGGGAGGGUGGUCGCCAGACGGCAUCGCUUGAGGGUCGGAGAGGGGCGUGGAAUUCCAGGUGUAGCGGUGAAAUGCGUAGAAUAUCUGGAGGAACACCGGUGGCGGAAGGCGCGAUGCCUGGACCGG